UAGACGACAGACAGUGACAUAAAUAGACUACUUAUCUCACGUUGUGUUAUUUUAGAUCAGGGAAAUGGCACGAACUGUGUAAAGCUCACCUAGGCCUACACUACUAUACUACUAGGACCACAAAAGGAGAUUGUAGUGUUAUUGUAGAGAGUAUAUUUCAAGCUCUGCAUCCACGUGGGCGUCAGACUGCCAUGGAGGAGUUUUGGAUGAUUUUCAUAAAUCUGAUUGGUCCGAUAAAACUACUCAACCGAUCAAUAUAUUUAGAAUACAUUUAGAAGACAAAAAGGGCUUUCGAAUGGACUUUUCCAAAAAGAAAUCGGCCCACAACUUUCGACUGUAGAGGGAUUUAUGUUAAAGACAGCUGGGAUAUUUGGGCAGAUUUCACUGUUUUUACGCUGAAAAAAUACACGAGUGGGUUUGAUAAAAAUAAAAAGUCCGAUAAAGGUGUUAACAUUAUAAUUAUAAAUUUGUAAUUGUUGUAAUGAUUAUUAAAUUCCGAUUAGUUUUAUCUUUUCCCAAAAUAAAUCGAUGAAGUAUUUGCGAAGUUAUUACAAACAGAAGUUGAAAAAUGACCAAAUUUAGUGGUUUUUGGCGACCUUCACUGCCGUUUUAUCGAAUUUAGACAUGAAACAUUGUCGUAAUGCGGGGGCUUCGUCCCCUGGAACACUUUCGAGUGAUUUUUAUGCGACGCCCGACCACCCAUUUUUCUUUCGUCGGGGACGUUGGUCCCCCCCCCCCUUAUCGGGGACAUCGGACCCCAUCGGGCAAAUACUGGCUCCAUCCCUGGUAGGUCUCUACUGAAACUUAACUAUCACUAGCACUCAAAUGUAACUUUAUACUCAA